rnacentral:tRNA from 1 species
GAGAAUGUUCCGCACCCUAACUGGUAAAGCGUACAUACAUUUUGGUCUGCUAAACCAAAGGUUGUAGGUUCGACUCCUACUAUCCCCU